UAAUACAGAGGUCCCAAGCGUUGUUCGGAUUCACUGGGCGUAAAGGGUGAGUAGGUGGUGGAUUAAGUCGGGUGUGAAAUCUCCGGGCUCAACCCGGAGCGUGCGCCCGAAACUGAUUCGCUAGAGGAUGGGAGGGGAGACUGGAAUUCUCGGUGUAGCAGUGAAAUGCGUAGAUAUCGAGAGGAACACCGGUGGCGAAGGCGAGUCUCUGGACCAUUCCUGACACUGAAUCACGAAAGCCGGGGGAGCAAACGGG
rnacentral:rRNA from 1 species